rnacentral:tRNA from 1 species
GUUACUUCGGUUAGAACGUUUGAUUUGGGAUCAAAAGGACGCGGGUUCAACUCCCGC